GACCGGUGUUGGCUUUGCCUCCAGCUGUUUCUUUACAGACACGCUGAACGCCAGCAGGAGCCGGGGGCCAAGAUCAGCCCUUCGAGUCUGGCCACACGCAGGCCACUUAAGCGCACACGUACGCAGACGCAGACGGCCACAGUUACUGCGAGCUCACGCAGAUAAAAACGGGGACGCUCCGGGCAACGGGAGCGACCAAGUUCACCAAAGCAGUGAGAGGCCAGGAAAGUGUCAUGUCAGCACUAAUGUUUCAGCGUUCCUGCAGAAAGGGAACGGUCAGGAAAGGUUGCUGGCCGUUUGACUAUCUACAAGCUUGGACAAAAUGUGGAACGAUUCAUAAACUUUGGUAAAGAAUACCCACAAAUCUGGAGGACAUCCACCCUUGGCUGGAGAACAAAACAAAAGCCACCUCAGAAGUCAAUCACUGACACUCUUCAGCAGAAACCAACAGUGAAAAUGGCAGUCGAUGCAAGAAGGCACUUAAGGAAAUGUCAGAAAAUACUAAAACAAAGUCGAGCAGACAGCUUAAAGGGUUUGCAGUUUGUCAUCUGGCGGCCAUAAGUGG